GGUUAAACUAUCUGUUCUACCCAUAUAGAUCUUUUGGAAUGAUACCGAUUAGCAUGGCCCCUGCACAAGGAUGACACACAAAUUCGUGAAGUGUUCCAUAUUUUA